rnacentral:rRNA from 1 species
GACGAACGCUGGCGGCGUGCUUAACACAUGCAAGUCGAACGGAAAGGCCUGCUUUCCCUUGUGGAUUGCGGGUGCUCGAGUGGCGAACGGGUGAGUAACACGUGAGUGAUCUGCCCCCAACUUGGGUAUAAGCCUGGGAAACUGGGUCUAAUUCCCGAUAGGACUGCAGGGUGGUGCCUGUGGUGGAAAACGAUUUUCUAGUGGUUGGGGAUGAGCUCGCGGCCUAUCAGCUUGUUGGUGGGGUAAUGGCCUACCAAGGCGGCGACGGGUAGCCGGCCUGAGAGGGUGGACGGCCACAUUGGGACUGAGAUACGGCCCAGACUCCUACGGGAGGCAGCAGUGGGGAAUAUUGCACAAUGGGCGGAAGCCUGAUGCAGCGACGCCGCGUGGGGGAUGACGGCCUUCGGGUUGUAAACUCCUUUCGACCGCGAGGAAGCCACCUGGUUGAAAGGGUGGUGACGGUAGUGGUAGAAGAAGCACCGGCUAACUACGUG